GCCGGGCAUGGUGGCGCAUGCCUAUAGUCCCAGCUAUUCGGGAGGCUGAGACUGGAGGAUCUGUUGAGUCCAGGAGGUCUGGGCUGUAGUGCGCUAUGCCAAUCGGGUGUCCGCACUAAGUUCGGCAUCAUACGGUGACUUCCCGGGAGUGGGGGACCACCAGGUUGCUCUAAGGAGGGGUGAACCGGCCCAGGUCGGAAAUGGAGCAGGUCAAAACUCCUGUGCUGAUCAGUAGUGGGAUCGUGCCUGUGAAUAGCCACUGCACGCCAGCCUGGGCAACAUAGCGAGACUCCGUCUCU
rnacentral:SRP_RNA from 1 species